rnacentral:rRNA from 1 species
UGCCAGCAGCCGCGGUAAUACGGAGGGUGCAAACGUUAAUCGGAAUUACUGGGCGUAAAGCGCGCGUAGGCGGUUAUACAAGUGGGAUGUGAAAGCCCAGGGCUUAACCUUGGAAUAGCAUUUCAAACUGUAUGACUGGAGUACGAGAGAGGGGGGUAGAAUUCAGAGUGUAGCGGUGAAAUGCGUAGAUAUUCUGAGGAAUACCAGUGGCGAAGGCGGCCCCCUGGACCAAUACUGACGCUGAGGUGCGAAAGCGUGGGGAGCAAACAGGAUUAGAUA